rnacentral:lncRNA from 1 species
ACUGUCAACAGGACCGCUGUGGAGAGAGGCCCAGUCAGAGAGAGGCAGAGGGAGGAGACAAAUGACUUAGUGUCAGAGGGGUGCAGAGGACAUCCUGCCCCCAGACAUCCUGCCCCCCAGCCUCCAUGUUCAUUUAGACUCAUGUAUCCCCAGGUUGGCUUCAAGCUCACUGUGUGACCAAGAACGGCCUUGAAUUUCUGAUCUACUGAUUGCAGCUUCUGGGUCCUGGGAUCACGGGUCUGUGGCACCACUCCUGGUUUCCGUGCUGGGGACUGAAACCAGGGAUUUGUGCAUUUAAGAUAAGCACUCCGGUAACCGAGCUCCACGCUCCUCCCCCUCCCCCCAUGUCAACCACUACCUUGAUUUUGAGUACCUACUGUGUACUAGAAAAACUGUUAAUAGUUAUCAGUUUUCCUACCGGUCUAUCCUACUGUGUGCUCUCAGAAGAGGCCAGGCUAUUGAUACACAGGUAAUAAAAGGAAUUGGGAGAUGUCACUAGGGAUGGCUAUUCAGUGAGAGAUGAUGAGGGGACACGUGAAAGGCCACUUCAGUCACAAAGCUGGCAUCCAGGGGAGGAGACAGCUCUGUGCAGGACAGGCAGCAUGUUCCAGGAUUGGAGAACAGCACCACAAAGGACCAACAGCACCUGUGGACAGCCCAGGUUAACUGAAGGUCACUGAAGUUGAUCAAGAUCACCCCAGCUAAUUACACCACCAGGACCACGGGUUGUGGUAAUCUUCAAGUAGGUGUUGAUUGUCUCCCGUUACUCUGAACACUAGAGGGAACACACAGUUCGGCCUUAGAAGCCCUCUGUCAGCUGCACGGACUCCGUGGGCUCUGAGAAGUGAUCAAAGCCCCACAGGUUCCCCCAGAAGAUCCAACCUUUCCAAAUACCUGCUGCAUUGCCAACUGCCGGGCCAGAAUCCACACGGGAUGAGUGGCAGCCACCCCUCCUCUCUGCUGUCUCUUGAGCCCCUUCCCUGCGGCAAACCCUGAUUGAAGACCCUCCAUGCACUGGCUCUGAUUUUCAAAGGUCUAGGGGGCAAGCAUUGCAAGUGUGUGGAGAUACGCUGCCGAAACCCUGCUGCCCCUUCAGAUUUACCACCAUCCCUGACACCUGCCCCAGGACGGACUACCGCAGGGCCGACAGAGCAUGCACAGUCUCUUGGGAUCCCUCUACAGCUCAAGGCUUCCACCAACCCAGCAGAAACACGCAGACGUUGUUCCACCUC